CCGCAGCCUUCGCGGGCGCGCUGCUCUCGGGGACGGUUCCUGCUCGCGUUGGGCGCGCCAUGGCGCGCUGGGCUGCUGCUCCUCGGCCUGCUCCGCCCUCUGGUGGCCGUCCCUGGGGCUGAUUUGAGUUAGCAGAUGCCUUUCGUGAUGGAGGAAAACAGUGAGUGAGCACCGCCUGAUCCCCCAAACCAAAGCCAGAUCCAAGCCCCAACCGACCUGGUUUCACUGGUAAGAGCCUCUAACCCUCCGGGUGGCCUCUAUGUCAUUUACCCGGCAGUGAUGUUCAUGUCAUCUGAGAAGAGGAGAUUUCAGGGGCUGACUUGGACUUCGCAGAUGCCUUUCAUGGUGGAGGAAAUCUCACAAUUGCAACUUUCAUUGUCACGAAGAGAUGACCCAGCACCUCCUAAUUCACCCAAGCCGAAGCCAAAUGCAAACCCUAAGCAACCUGGAUUCAUUGUGUCUGAGGCACCCUGGGACCGUCCUGACUGGAAAGCACAGUGACAUUGCUGGCCUGAGCUGAAGUGCUGAUUAAAAUAAAUUGAAAGCUGAAUGACCUUAUGAAGAGCUGCUUUACCCAGGAACAAAUAUGGAGAGGAACUCCUUGCAACUGUGUUCUCAAGUAGACCACUUUUGAGAAAUUAUACAUUUAUCAUAACACCUCAAGUCCUGCUCUGCAUAGAAUGACCAUUAUUAUCAAGAAAAGUUCUCCAUUCCCUGUGAUUCAUAAGGAAAUGCAGGCCUAACCAGAAAACAGGAGCUGCGACAACCUUGGGUCAGACACAUUCAGUCUCUCUAUUCACAGUUGCAUUUUCUCUCUCUCUCUCUCUCUCUCUCUUUUUUUUUUUUUAACAAAGCCAAAUUACCAGUAACUGGGAAAAACAAAAACAAAAAAAAAAUGAACAUACGGCUUGAG
rnacentral:lncRNA from 1 species